UAAUUUGAGAGUUUGAUCCUGGCUCAGGACGAACGCUGGCGGCGUGCCUAAUACAUGCAAGUCGAACGAACUCUGGUAUUGAUUGGUGCUUGCAUCAUGAUUUACAUUUGAGUGAGUGGCGAACUGGUGAGUAACACGUGGGAAACCUGCCCAGAAGCGGGGGAUAACACCUGGAAACAGAUGCUAAUACCGCAUAACAACUUGGACCGCAUGGUCCGAGUUUGAAAGAUGGCUUCGGCUAUCACUUUUGGAUGGUCCCGCGGCGUAUUAGCUAGAUGGUGGGGUAACGGCUCACCAUGGCAAUGAUACGUAGCCGACCUGAGAGGGUAAUCGGCCACAUUGGGACUGAGACACGGCCCAAACUCCUACGGGAGGCAGCAGUAGGGAAUCUUCCACAAUGGACGAAAGUCUGAUGGAGCAACGCCGCGUGAGUGAAGAAGGGUUUCGGCUCGUAAAACUCUGUUGUUAAAGAAGAACAUAUCUGAGAGUAACUGUUCAGGUAUUGACGGUAUUUAACCAGAAAGCCACGGCUAACUACGUGCCAGCAGCCGCGGUAAUACGUAGGUGGCAAGCGUUGUCCGGAUUUAUUGGGCGUAAAGCGAGCGCAGGCGGUUUUUUAAGUCUGAUGUGAAAGCCUUCGGCUCAACCGAAGAAGUGCAUCGGAAACUGGGAAACUUGAGUGCAGAAGAGGACAGUGGAACUCCAUGUGUAGCGGUGAAAUGCGUAGAUAUAUGGAAGAACACCAGUGGCGAAGGCGGCUGUCUGGUCUGUAACUGACGCUGAGGCUCGAAAGUAUGGGUAGCAAACAGGAUUAGAUACCCUGGUAGUCCAUACCGUAAACGAUGAAUGCUAAGUGUUGGAGGGUUUCCGCCCUUCAGUGCUGCAGCUAACGCAUUAAGCAUUCCGCCUGGGGAGUACGGCCGCAAGGCUGAAACUCAAAGGAAUUGACGGGGGCCCGCACAAGCGGUGGAGCAUGUGGUUUAAUUCGAAGCUACGCGAAGAACCUUACCAGGUCUUGACAUACUAUGCAAAUCUAAGAGAUUAGACGUUCCCUUCGGGGACAUGGAUACAGGUGGUGCAUGGUUGUCGUCAGCUCGUGUCGUGAGAUGUUGGGUUAAGUCCCGCAACGAGCGCAACCCUUAUUAUCAGUUGCCAGCAUUAAGUUGGGCACUCUGGUGAGACUGCCGGUGACAAACCGGAGGAAGGUGGGGAUGACGUCAAAUCAUCAUGCCCCUUAUGACCUGGGCUACACACGUGCUACAAUGGAUGGUACAACGAGUUGCGAACUCGCGAGAGUAAGCUAAUCUCUUAAAGCCAUUCUCAGUUCGGAUUGUAGGCUGCAACUCGCCUACAUGAAGUCGGAAUCGCUAGUAAUCGCGGAUCAGCAUGCCGCGGUGAAUACGUUCCCGGGCCUUGUACACACCGCCCGUCACACCAUGAGAGUUUGUAACACCCAAAGUCGGUGGGGUAACCUUUUAGGAACCAGCCGCCUAAGGUGGGACAGAUGAUUAGGGUGAAGUCGUAACAAGGUAG
rnacentral:rRNA from 1 species